rnacentral:pre_miRNA from 1 species
CUUGGCACUGGUAGAAUUCACUGCUAAAAAAUACUCCAGUGAUUCACCGGUUCCAAACU